UUAUGAGGAGGGUAGUGGUGACCUAUAAUAACUGGAGUCCCAGAAUUCAAAACCAGAUACUGAAACAGGAGAAGGAACACAGCUCUGAAGAAAACCAUAUCAAGCUGAAGAAUAAUACUGCUGUGGAAAUGACCUAGUUAGAGAAUAGAGGCUACAGUAGGGACCUAGAACAAAUUUUAUUAGAAUGAAGGGACUCAAAUGCAAAUUUGGAGUAGAGUGAUUCAGUGGAUGGCGGCCUCCUUUCUUCCAGAAUCUCAUUUCCAUAUUUUCUUAAGUUCCAUCUUCAACCUUCAAAAGCACCUCACAUUCCACAGGCACACAGAAAGAACAGAGAUAGAGGGAGAUUGCAGUUUCUUGGUGUGAAUUGGGCAAUAGAAGGAAGAGUUUUGUUUUUUUCUUGUUUGCUUUUGGUUAUGGAUUAGAGGUCAACUCUUGUUGUUGAUACAUCUAACAAAGUAAUGGAAUGGAUUCUUUCCGUUACAAUGUUGAAAGGUUUAAAAUGUUGUCGUGGAUGGAAAUAUCGAAGUUUUAAUUUUAUCAAAAUAUCAAGAAAAGAUAUUUAAAAAAAA